rnacentral:misc_RNA from 1 species
UAAACUUUGAACAUUUUUACAAUUAUACUCUACCGUCUAUUCUGCCAUUAAAUAUAAAGGAUUUUGCUAUGUCAGCAUAACAAAUGUCCAAAAAAAUCCUAAACUUUGUCUUUUUCUUCACAAUUGUACCCUAAACUAUUUUUUUUCAACAAACAUACCUUGAACUUUGAAUUUCACUAUAAUUGAACCCCUUUGAUAGUUGCUCCUUUCAAAACUAACAGAGAUGUCAGAUUAGCACUUCUAAUCCCCAAAUUGAUACUAAUUAAACUU